AACCCUAGUCGUCUUCUCUUCUUCUAGAUCUCGAGUUCAUCACUUCCUUAUUCGAUCUCGAGUUCAUCACUUGCUGCUCUUCUUCAUCAGUCAUCUUCAUUCGAUCUUCUUACAGUUCUGAUUCUUCAUCAGCUCAUCCACUUUGCGACCGGUCGCUUCUCCGAUUUGUCUUCAUCAGCUCUUCAGGCGGCAGAGUCGAGUCAGUCGACCCAUUUUGGUCGAAUUUGAUGGGAUUGCUGAGAGAACUGAGUGCAAUCCCGGCCCGCUCGAUGACUUAUUCCUCAAUUUGUUCCGCAGGAAAAUGGUACAGGGAUAAAACAGGAGGUUGGAUGGGAUUCGGAGAAACUCGAGUAUGAUGGUCUAAUUGAGGUCGCGAAUCGGCUUAUGAUGAAGGGCAGGAACAAUUCCGAUACAAAGAUGCUGCGGUAUCAGUUUAUAUUUGUCGUUACCAUUCGCUUUGUAGUAAGAAUUAUCGAAUGGAUUGGCAUCUGUUUAGAGGAGGUUAGUGACUAAUUUCUGGACAAUGAUGUUUUAUCGGGACAUUGCCUAGUUAAUGCUAGGAUGAUGUCAAUGGAUCCUCUUUUACAUGUUAAUAGAUAGAUUCAGAGUACGUUGUUAGAGACGGUUGGAAACUGCUUGACGGAAUAUUAAUCGAGAGACUAGGAGACUGAUAUCGGAGAAGCCUCUUUUCCUGCUUUUGAUCUCUGUGAUAUUGCUGGGUUGGGCUG